GGGGGUAUAACUUAGUGGUAGAGUGCUUGCCUAGCAGGUACAAGGUCCUGGGUUCAAUUCCCAGCAAACACA
rnacentral:tRNA from 1 species